GGCGGGCCGGGGGCGAUCGGGAGGGCGCCGGGAGGGGCUCGGGGUGUCGGUGCGAGGUUUUGGGGGGCGCUGAGCCCCGCGCACCCCCAGAGAUGCCGCCGGACGCCGCCCGCAGCAAGAUGCUGACGGGGAUCGGGGGCUUCGUCCUGGGCUCGGUCUUCCUGGCGCUGGGGCUCGGCUUCUACGUGCGCAAGAAGAGCUCCUGAGCCGCCGGCGGCCGCAGCCCCUCCCCGUGGCCUCGGGCCCGCCCGGGACCCCCCGCUCCGUCCCCGCGCUCACUUUGGGGGGGCCCUGUGUCCCCCCCUCCCCUUCCCCAGCGCCGCUGUCACUGUGUCCCCGCCCGGCUGCUCCCAGUGCUCCCAAUAAAGCUUCCCAGUUGGA